UUAGACAGAGGCUGUGGGCAGAGGGAGAGGGAUGCAGGACCCAGCCCAGGAGGUGAAGCCUGAAAUCCCUGCACCCUGAUGGAGGGAUGGGACACCCUGGAGCCAUGCUGGGGACAGCAGGGAUGCUCUGGGUCUGCUAAAAUCUGCCUGGAGGUGCUGGUGGCUCACCAAAGUGUGGUAGCAGCAACUUUGCUUUGCUGUAGGAGAGACCUGAGCAGUGUUACGUCCUGUUCAUUAGUCCAUUUAAAGGCAAGAUUUCCCACAUUUUAUGCCAUCCACAGCUUUGAUUUUGACAGUGAAGACUUGCAGGAACCUUGAGCUGUGUUACCAUGCAGUGCCAAGCCUGGGCGCUCCCAGGCUGAUGUGCCUUUAAUCUGCUGUGGGAUUCCUCCAGUCCCUCCCAGACCAUCUCCAGUGACCCCUUAGGAAAUGACUCACAGUUUUAGUGAAUAUCCAUCACCAAGCUUGACAAGACCAGGCUCUAUCCUUUCUGGUGAGGAGAGGACACCUCAAAUGACCCAUCUGCCACUUGAAUGUCACCAGGCCCACAGUGGGUGAGCUCAGAGUGGGUGCCAACACCACAGGGUGGGGUCUGGGUACAGCAUUCUACAACAGGGCAGGAUGAAACAGGGAAAAGCUCUUCUAUACAGAUAUUAUAAUAAAAAGACAUACCAAUGAAAAGGUUCUCUGCUGGACAUGGAAUAUUUGGG